AAAGAGAGGAGGGGGGGCUGGGCACGCUGAGGUUCAGACUUGGCUAUUUUUAAGGACUAUGUCACUCGAGUGGCCGGGGGAGGGUGGCUCAACCCGACUCACGUCCCCCUUUCUGCUUUCCUUUCCCAUGGUCUAUGGGCAGAAAAUCAGGUUCACCUUCAACCUUCUUAGAUCUUUUUGCUCAGGGUGGAGGUGGAGCAUCUAAUGACCCAGCAGAAGGAUCCUGAGACUAAAGCCUAUCCCCAAGAUAGCAGAAACGAAACUGUAGGCUGAACACGACGUACAUAGGAAUUGGGACUUGAAGGAAUUGGGACCUGAAUUUCCUCGAAGGAAAAACAAAACAAACAACAGAUGUUGGAUUUCACACAGAGACCAAGAGAGAUCUUCCCUCCACCCCCAAGGAAUUGGGCACCAGCAAGUGCCCUCUGGGACCCAUGUGAUUCGGUUUAAAUGGUGAUCAACAUUGGUCACCACUGUGUCAUCGGUUGCCUCUCCGAAUUCAGCGGGAAUCAAUUCACAAGCAAAGCAGUGAGAGAGAAAUGAGGUCUGGAAAGAAUCUGGAGCUUGGACAGUUUCCAGUGUACGAUAAGGGAGACAAGAAAACACUACGAAGUCCACCUUGGUCCUAUCGAAAGUACACCCCAGGUACAGCUGUGCCGAUAGAACUACAAAGGAUCUGAGCUAGAUGUGUAAAGUGACCCGCACUGAACGAAUUUGGUCCCCUCUCCUAACAACGGAGCCUGACACCACAGACACCACGUUCCUUUCCUCAGUGACUAUCAACCCUCAUCUCGAGAUCACCCUGAUCAAAGCAAAAACAUUGGAAGAGAACACCUGGACGCACCUCAUCUUAUUCAAGAAAAAAUAAAGAAGCAAAGAACCUGUACGGCCAAGUCUGGGUACCCAACCCCUAUGCACUCUUCCCCCAGCCCUGAACCUUCAGCUCCUGGGAUUCCAGGCUGAAGAGGCACGGUUUUGAAUUCUUUGUAGACACCCUAGAUCUAGCCUGGUACCUGGAGUCAGAUCUUGAGGUUUCACUAUAAAAGGAAGUAGCCCUUUCUAGUUGUUUGGCGUUUAAAGAAUUGUUUGAUGUUGCAAAAAAGAAUAGCUGCAAAAAUGAAGCUGUGCUUUCCUCACAGACCUGGGAAAAUGCUUCCCAGUAUUUCCAGUCAGUAGACCAGUUGGUGGCAUAUUUCACAGUCACUUCUAAGUUACAGGUCACUCUCCUAUUUUUUUUUUUAAAUAAAACUUGCCAAAUUCCUAGAAGCCCCAAAA